UACGGAGGGGGCUAGCGUUAUUCGGAAUUACUGGGCGUAAAGCGUACGUAGGCGGCUUUGUAAGUUAGAGGUGAAAGCCCGGAGCUCAACUCCGGAACUGCCUUUAAGGCUGCAUCGCUUGAAUCCAGGAGAGGUGAGUGGAAUUCCGAGUGUAGAGGUGAAAUUCGUAGAUAUUCGGAAGAACACCAGUGGCGAAGGCGGCUCACUGGACUGGUAUUGACGCUGAGGUGCGAAAGCGUGGGGAGCAAACAGG
rnacentral:rRNA from 1 species